rnacentral:rRNA from 1 species
UACAUGUGGGGCAAGCGUUGUUCGGAAUUACUGGGCAUAAAGGGUGCGUAGGUGGUUUGUUAAGUCAGGGGUGAAAUCCCGCGGCCCAACUGUGGAACUGCCUUUGAUACUGGCGAACUUGAGUGCGUGAGGGGUAGGGGGAACGAGCAGUGUAGCGGUGAAAUGCGUAGAUAUUGCUCGGAAGGCCAGAGCCGAAGGGGCCCUACUGGUGCGUAACUGACACUGAGGCACGAAAGCGUGGGGAGCAAACAGG